rnacentral:misc_RNA from 1 species
AACGCACAUUGCGCCCUUUGGCAUUCCGAAGGGCAUGCCUGUUCGAGCGUCAUUGUCACCCCUCAAGCCCCGCGCUUGGUGUUGGACGGUCUGGUCGAUGUUGCAUCGAACCCCUCUCAAAGACAAUGACGGCGGCCUGUGGCUCCCCCGGCACACUGAGCUUUUCAUCGAGCACGUGUCGGAUUCGUGGGUGUCCAGGUCCCGGUCAUCUCCCCCGUUUGGGGGAAAUAUUUUCACAAGGUUGACCUCGGAUCAGGUAGGAAUACGCGCUGAACUUAA